rnacentral:rRNA from 1 species
UACGUAGGGUGCAAGCGUUGUCCGGAAUUAUUGGGCGUAAAGAGUUCGUAGGCGGUUUGUCGCGUCCGGUGUGAAAGUCCAGGGCUCAACCCUGGAAUGCCGGUGGAUACUGUCGGGCUCGAAUCCGGAAGAGGUGAGUGGAAUUCCUGGUGUAGCGGUGAAAUGCGCAGAUAUCAGGAGGAACACCAAUAGCGAAGGCAGCUCGCUGGGACGUUACUGACACUGAGGCGCGAAAGCGUGGGGAGCGAACAGG